AUCACUAAGCGGAGGAAAAGAAACUAACAAGGAUUCCCCUAGUAACGGCGAGUGAAGCGGGAAGAGCCCAGCACCGAAUCUCCUGCCUGUUGGGUAGCGAGAACUGUGGUGUUUAGGACAGCCUCUGGGGUGACGAUCAGACUUCCGAGUCCUCCUGAUCGGGGCCUUUCCCAUAGCGGGUGUCAGGCCUCUACCGUCGUCUGUCGUCCUCCCUCUGAGCGUCCUUGGAGUCGGGUUGUUUGGGAAUGCAGCCCUAAGUGGGUGGUAAACUCCAUCUAAGGCUAAAUACUGACACGAGUCCGAUAGCGGACAAGUACCGUGAGGGAAAGUU
rnacentral:rRNA from 1 species